UAUCAUCUAGAAUCAUAAUCUACUAGCUGUAGAGCUAGAAAAGACCCCAGAGCCCAUCUAAUCCAACACCCUUAUUUGGACAGAGGAGGGAACUUGAAGCUCAGAUAAAGGAAGUGACUUGCCUCACAUCAGCGCAGUGUUCCUGGUCUAUGGCUCAUUUUUCAUCCUUCCCAACUCCCCUCAGGAGAGAAAU